CAUCUAUCUCUCUCAAUGUUUUGCUUUUUGCUUUAAUUGUUCAACAUAUGAUAAUUAGGGUUUUAUUUGGUGAGUGUUACAAUGACCAAUACGUUCUUCCACUAUUUUGUGACGAAGAAAUUCUGAUAGGGUCGAUUGCAAAGAAGGGGUUGCAGCAGUACUUGCUUCAGCUUCAACAUCACCCAGAACCAAGGCAAUUACAGUGGAGGUUUUGUCAAUGAUCAGUGACAUAGUGUUGCAGAAGCUCAUCGGUAUUCAGAAACUUCAGAUAAGACGGCUCCUUCUCAAAGUGAUGUUCGAUUAUGAAUUAUAUUUGAGAAACCUUGUGAAACUGAUUUCUCUCCCACUCCGUUAGAAGAAGACAAAGACGAAGGAAGACAGCAGCCACUACCCACCCAUCUGCUUCUUCUCCACUCCACCCUCCGUCGGAAUUCCUCUCUGUUUCCUCAUUUCUGAAGGUCCCUUCACAUCUCUUUCUGAAUGUUUUGCUAGGUCCAGAUUUCAAUUUUAGUUUGUGUAAUUAGAUUUCAAUUUCUGGAAAUAGGUUGCUGUAAAAUUUAUGGGGUAGUAGAAUUUGGUAUGCUAUAAAGUGUUUCUUGAUAUUAUGAAUUUCUGGAAAUAGGUUGCUGUAAAAUUUACAGAUGUUCGUUUUGUGAAUUGGGUGUAUGAAUGAUUUGUUGGUUUUGGUCUCUUCUAAUACCAUGUCUUCUAUUUUGUGUU